rnacentral:rRNA from 1 species
GAUGAACGCUGGCGGCGUGCCUAAUACAUGCAAGUCGAGCGAACAGACGAGGAGCUUGCUCCUCUGACGUUAGCGGCGGACGGGUGAGUAACACGUGGAUAACCUACCUAUAAGACUGGGAUAACUUCGGGAAACCGGAGCUAAUACCGGAUAAUAUAUUGAACCGCAUGGUUCAAUAGUGAAAGACGGUUUUGCUGUCACUUAUAGAUGGAUCCGCGCCGCAUUAGCUAGUUGGUAAGGUAACGGCUUACCAAGGCAACGAUGCGUAGCCGACAUGAGAGGGUGAUCGGCCACACUGGAACUGAGACACGGUCCAGACUCCUACGGGAGGCAGCAGUAGGGAAUCUUCCGCAAUGGGCGAAAGCCUGACGGAGCAACGCCGCGUGAGUGAUGAAGGUCUUCGGAUCGUAAAACUCUGUUAUUAGGGAAGAACAAAUGUGUAAGUAACUAUGCACGUCUUGACGGUACCUAAUCAGAAAGCCACGGCUAACUACGUG